rnacentral:rRNA from 1 species
CACCUCUAGCAUCACCAGUAUUAGAGUCGCCUGUUUAUCAAAAACAUGUCUGUGCGGAUGUAGUGUUCAGUCUGGCCUGCCCACUGAGGUUUAAAGGGCUGCGGUAAUUUGACCGUGCAAAGGUAGCAUAAUCAAUAGUCUUUUAAUUGGAGGCUUGGAUGAAAGGUUUGACGGAUGAGGAGCUGUCUCUUUAGUUGUGUUGAAUUUAACGUUUGUGUGAAAAGGCAUUAAUGGUUUAGGGGGACGAUAAGACCCUAUAAAACUUAACAUGUGUGGUGUUAGCUUUUGGAGUUGUUCUGUAAUCAUAAGGUGACUGGGUGUGUUUUGCUGGGGCGGCACGAAUAUAAUUUGUAACUGUUUUAGGAAAAAAAUAUUGAUUAAUAGAUUUUGGUCCUUUAUUAGGGAGUUAAGAGUAAGUUACUUUAGGGAUAACAGCGUAAUUUUUCUUGAGAGUUCUUAUCGAAGGAAGUAGUUGUGACCUCGAUGUUGAAUUAAAUUUUCCCUUUGGUGCAGGAGUUAUUAUGGGAGGGCCUGUUCGGCCAAUAAGCAUUU